GCGGGAAUAGCUCAGUUGGUAGAGCAUAACCUUGCCAAGGUUAGGGUCGCCGGUUCGAGUCCGGUUUCCCGCU
rnacentral:tRNA from 1 species